rnacentral:rRNA from 1 species
GCGUGCCUAAUACAUGCAAGUCGAGCGGAGUUACUUUGAAAGCUUGCUUUCAAAGUAACUUAGCGGCGGACGGGUGAGUAACACGUAGGCAACCUGCCCCUUAGACUGGGAUAACUACCGGAAACGGUAGCUAAUACCGGAUAAUUUCUUUUUUCUCCUGAAGAAAGAAUGAAAGACGGAGCAAUCUGUCACUGAGGGAUGGGCCUGCGGCGCAUUAGCUAGUUGGUGGGGUAACGGCCCACCAAGGCGACGAUGCGUAGCCGACCUGAGAGGGUGAACGGCCACACUGGGACUGAGACACGGCCCAGACUCCUACGGGAGGCAGCAGUAGGGAAUCUUCCGCAAUGGACGAAAGUCUGACGGAGCAACGCCGCGUGAGUGAUGAAGGUUUUCGGAUCGUAAAGCUCUGUUGCCAGGGAAGAACGUCCGGUAGAGUA